GGCCCGCACCGAGCGCUGCAGCUCGCCCAGCCAGCAGCUGGCCCGCUCCUUGCCGCUGGGGUCGGGGUCGUGGUAGAGGGCCUGCACGGCCUGGUACACCAGCUGCAGGCUGGGCUGGGCCCCGCCGCCCUCCAUGGCCCCACCGCCGCGCUCAGCGCCGCCCUCCGUCGCCCGCCGCCAUCUUCGGGGCCUCCGCGCCGGUACCGGAGCGCGGCGGUGCGACGCGGAAUGCGGUCCCCCCGGAAACUCAGAAAGGGGAAGUUCCGCCCCGCUCGGAAAUGCGUUCCGCGUCGACUUCCGGUUCGGCGGUGCGAUUCGAAUAGCACCCCUUCCCCCCCCGGAAACAAUGUUCCGCCUCAGAGGUGCGAUGCAAUAAGCGGUCCCUACGGAAACGCUGACCACAAAGGGUCCUUGAAGAUGAUAUACCGCAGAAUGGUUGGGCUGCAUGGGAUCCCAGAGCCCCAGAGCCACAACCCCAUCCGGGGGCUGAGUGCUCCCCCCCCGAUCCGGACGGGCACAGUUGGGUGAGUCACAUCUGGACUGGACGUGGGGGGAGGGGCGGGGCACAUCUGGGCGGGGCAGCCGCCGGCAGGUCCUGGCAGCGCCACUCCACUCCGCUCCGCUCCACGGCCCCGCCCGGUGCAGCAGUGGCAUCACCGGGACCGGCGCCAAACGGGCGGUGCCGGAGCCGUUCCGCUGCUCCGAGCGGCGCCGCGACGCUACGCCACGGAGCAGGACAGCACCAAUCCCUGUCACAGCACCCUGGGCACUGACCCCACUCUUCGCCAUGGCCACCAAUUCCCCCGUGUUCCCCAUGGGCUCUGGGGUGACAACAGCGGUGCCACGAGUCCCUGAAACAUCAGCGCCGGAUACGGUGGUGUUGGUGUGUGCCUUCACUGCUGCUUUCGUGGCCGUGGCCAUCGUGGUAGUAGUGGUGUGUCGAUGUUGGAAGCGGUGCUGCGGGAGAACAGCCCAGGACCCUGCAGCAUUGGAAGGGAACAGGAACGGUGCGGCGGUGCCCAUGGGAGCCCCGAAGAGCCCUGAAGACUGAGCCCGGCGGGAGCCCCGCGCGUGUCCCCACUAAUACAAUAAAGCUCCGCUGCUGCCACCGCC